AUUGAACGCUGGCGGCAGGCCUAACACAUGCAAGUCGAACGAGUGGCGGACGGGUGAGUAAUGUCUGGGAAACUGCCUGAUGGAGGGGGAUAACUACUGGAAACGGUAGCUAAUACCGCAUACCAUCAGAUGUGCCCAGAUGGGAUUAGCUAGUUGGGGGGGUAACGGCUCACCAAGGGAACGAUCCCUAGAUGGUCUGAGAGGAUGCCCAGCCACACUGGAACUGGGACACGGUCCAGACUCCUACGGGAGGCAGUAGUGGGGAAUAUUUCACAAUGGGCGGAAGCCUGAUGCAGCCAUGCCGCGUGUAGGAAGAAGGCCUUCGGGUUGUAAAGUACUUUCAGCGGGGAGGCGUUACCCGCAGAAGAAGCACCGGCUAACUCCGGGCCAGCAGCCGCGGUAAUUC
rnacentral:rRNA from 1 species